rnacentral:rRNA from 1 species
UGGGGAAUUUUGCACAAUGGGCGAAAGCCUGAUGCAGCAACGCCGCGUGCGGGAUGAAGGCCCUCGGGUUGUAAACCGCUUUCAGCAGGGACGAAUAUGACGGUACCUGCAGAAGAAGCCCCGGCUAACUACGUGCCAGCAGCCGCGGUAAUACGUAGGGGGCAAGCGUUAUCCGGAUUCAUUGGGCGUAAAGAGCGCGUAGGCGGACUGUUAAGUCAGAUGUGAAAACCGGGGGCUCAACCCGCGGCCUGCAUCUGAAACUGGCAGUCUUGAGUCUGGUAGAGGAAAGUGGAAUUCCUGGUGUAGCGGUGAAAUGCGCAGAUAUCAGGAGGAACACCAGUGGCGAAGGCGGCUUUCUGGGCCACGACUGACGCUGAGGCGCGAAAGCUAGGGGAGCGAACAG